rnacentral:piRNA from 1 species
UCCUGAAGAAGUUUCCUAGUAACUGC